CAGAUAUAGUACAGACCGCCACAGAUGGUAAGAUUAGACCCGGCUAGCUGAUUAUUCAAAUGGUGGUGUCUUCUCUCAAAGCACUAAUGAGUAACCUGUGGGUGCUGCCUCUACCUGGAAAUUUUCUGAUCUUCAUGGAAAAGGGAAAACAUGGUUGAAAACAAAUCAUGAGCCAAUUCUUAACCUACCUACCAGCAACACAUAUCUCAUUUUUGCUUGCAGUCCAUUGACCAAAUUUUUGGCCAGGGCUGGGUUUGAACCUGCCACCUACAGCAUAUGGAGCCAGAACCCCACUCUGUUGAGCCACAGGCACCGCCCAGCAGGAGUUAAUUUUUUAAAUGGUAGAGGUGUGAGCCCAGUUUUAUCCUUUUACAUGUGGCUAACGAUUUCUCCCACCAUCUUUUAAAAUAGGAAUUCUUUUCCCCAGUGUAUGCCUGUGUUUAGUUCA